GCAAAACCUAUCCAACCCUUGACAUGCCUGGACAAUCCGAGAGAUCGGACUUUCCUUCGGGACCAGUGCACAGGUGCUGCAUGGCUGUCGUCAGCUCGUGUCGUGAGAUGUUCGGUUAAGUCCCGGCAACGAGCGCAACCCACAUCUUUAGUUGCCAGCAGGUUAAGCUGGGCACUCUAGAGAAACUGCCCGUGAUAAGCGGGAGGAAGGUGUGGAUGACGUCAAGUCCUCAUGGCCCUUACGGGUUGGGCUACACACGUGCUACAAUGGCAGUGACAAUGGGUUAAUCCCAAAAAGCUGUCUCAGUUCGGAUUGGGGUCUGCAACUCGACCCCAUGAAGUCGGAAUCGCUAGUAAUCGCGUAACAGCAUGACGCGGUGAAUACGUUCCCGGGCCUUGUACACACCGCCCGUCACACCAUGGGAGUUGGUUCUACCCGACGACGCUGCGCUAACCCUUCGGGGAGGCAGGCGGCCACGGUAGGAUCAGCGACUGGGGUGAAGUCGUAACGGAAUAGCCGUAAUCGAAUUUUCCGCGGCCGGCCUAGAR
rnacentral:rRNA from 1 species